AGCGCGAUGACCGAGUGGUUAAGGCGUUGGACUUAAGUUCCAAUGGAUGUAAGUCCUCGUGGGUUCGAACCCCACUCGCGCUA
rnacentral:tRNA from 1 species